rnacentral:rRNA from 1 species
UACAGAGGGUGCGAGCGUUGUCCGGAAUCACUGGGCGUAAAGGGCGCGUAGGUGGCCCGACAAGUCAAUGGUGAAAGUUCGACGCUUAACGUCGAAUCGGCCACUGAUACUGUUGGGCUGGAGCACUGUAGAGGCUCAUGGAAUUCCGGGUGUAGCGGUGGAAUGCGUAGAGAUCCGGAAGAACACCGGUGGCGAAGGCGGUGAGCUGGGCAGUAGCUGACACUGAGGCGCGAAAGCGUGGGGAGCGAACAGG